rnacentral:rRNA from 1 species
CAGCCGCCACGGUAAUACGUAGGUCCCGAGCGUUGUCCGGAUUUAUUGGGCGUGAAGCGAGCGCAGGCGGUUAGAUAAGCCUGAAGUUAAAGGCUGUGGCUUAACCAUAGUACGCUUUGGAAACUGUUUAACUUGAGUGCAAGAGGGGAGAGUGGAAUUCCAUGUGUAGCGGUGAAAUGCGUAGAUAUAUGGAGGAACACCGGUGGCGAAGGCGACCUUCUGGACUGUUACUGACGCUGAGAUCCGAAAGCGUGGGGAUCAAACAGGAUUAGAGACCCCCGUAGUCCCUGUCUCUUAUACC